rnacentral:rRNA from 1 species
UACGAAGGGUGCAAGCGUUACUCGGAAUUACUGGGCGUAAAGCGUGCGUAGGCGGUUUGUUAAGUCCGUUGUGAAAGCCCUGGGCUCAACCUGGGAAUUGCAGUGGAUACUGGCGAGCUAGAGUGCGGUAGAGGAUGGUGGAAUUCCCGGUGUAGCGGUGAAAUGCGUAGAGAUCGGGAGGAACACCCGUGGCGAAGGCGGCCAUCUGGACCAGCACUGACGCUGAGGAGCGAAAGCAUGGGGAGCGAACAGG